rnacentral:rRNA from 1 species
UUGACCUCGGAUCAGGUAGGGAUACCCGCUGAACUUAAGCAUAUCAAAAGC